CUUCUCACUACUGCACUUGACUAGUC
rnacentral:piRNA from 5 species